rnacentral:rRNA from 1 species
AGUGAACGCUGGCGGUAGGCCUAACACAUGCAAGUCGAACGGCAGCACAGUAAGAGCUUGCUCUUACGGGUGGCGAGUGGCGGACGGGUGAGGAAUGCAUCGGAAUCUACUUUUUCGUGGGGGAUAACGUAGGGAAACUUACGCUAAUACCGCAUAUGACCUACGGGGGAAAGCAGGGGAUCUUCUGACCUUGCGCGGUUGAAUGAGCCGAUGUCGGAUUAGCUAGUUGGCGGGGUAAAGGCCCACCAAGGCGACGAUCCGUAGCUGGUCUGAGAGGAUGAUCAGCCACACUGGAACUGAGACACGGUCCAGACUCCUACGGGAGGCAGCAGUGGGGAAUAUUGGACAAUGGGCGCAAGCCUGAUCCAGCCAUACCGCGUGGGUGACGAAGGCCUUCGGGUUGUAAAGCCCUUUUGUUGGGAAAGAAAAGCAGCAGGUUAAUACCCCGCUGUUCUGACGGUACCCAAAGAAUAAGCACCGGCUAACUUCGUG